rnacentral:rRNA from 1 species
GACGAACGCUGGCGGCGUGCUUAACACAUGCAAGUCGAACGGAAAGGCCUGCUUUCCCUUGUGGUUUGCGGGUACUCGAGUGGCGAACGGGUGAGUAACACGUGAGUUAUCUUCCCCCAACUUGGGUAUAAGCCUGGGAAACUGGGUCUAAUUCCCGGUAGUACUGCAGGGUGGUGCCUGUGGUGGAACACGAUUUUCUAGUGGUUGGGGAUGAGCGGGCGGCCUAUCGGCUUGUUGGUGGGGUACUGGCCUACCAAGGCGGCGACGGGUAGCCGGCCUGAGAGGGGCGACGGCGAAAGUGGGACUGGGAUCCGGCCCAGACGCCUACGGGAGGCAGCAGUGGGGAAUAUUGGACAAUGGGCGGAAGCCUGAUGCAGCGAGGCCGCGGGGGGGAUGACGGGCUUCGGGUGGUAAACUCCUUUCGACCGCGAGGAAGCGACCUGGUUGGAAGGGUGGUGACGGUAGUGGUAGAAGAAGCACCGGCUAACUACGUG